rnacentral:rRNA from 1 species
GUGGGGAAUCUUGCGCAAUGGGCGAAAGCCUGACGCAGCCAUGCCGCGUGGAUGAUGAAGGUCUUAGGAUUGUAAAAUCCUUUCACCGGUGAAGAUAAUGACUGUAGCCGGAGAAGAAGCCCCGGCUAACUUCGUGCCAGCAGCCGCGGUAAUACGAAGGGGGCUAGUGUUGCUCCGAUUUACUGGGCGUAAAGGGCGCGUAGGCGGACAUUUAAGUCAGGGGUGAAAUCCCGGGGCUCAACCUCGGAACUGCCUUUGAUACUGGGUGUCUUGAGUAUGAGAGAGGUGUGUGGAACUCCGAGUGUAGAGGUGAAAUUCGUAGAUAUUCGGAAGAACACCAGUGGCGAAGGCGACACACUGGCUCAUUACUGACGCUGAGGCGCGAAAGCGUGGGGAGCAAACAGGAUUAGAUACCCUAGUAGUCC